rnacentral:rRNA from 1 species
CAGCAGCCGCGGGAAUACGUAGGUGGCAAGCGUUGUCCGGAAUUAUUGGGCGUAAAGCGCACGCAGGUGGUUUAAUAAGUCUGAUGUGAAAGCCCACGGCUCAACCGUGGAGGGUCAUUGGAAACUGUUAAACUUGAGUGCAGGAGAGAAAAGUGGAAUUCCUAGUGUAGCGGUGAAAUGCGUAGAGAUUAGGAGGAACACCAGUGGCGAAGGCGGCUUUUUGGCCUGUAACUGACACCGAGGCACGAAAGCGUGGGGAGCAAACAGGAUUAGAUACCCCGGUAGUCCCUGUCUCUUAUAC